AAUAAACAUUUGAUGCCAUUCUUUAUUAAUGUUUAAAAACUCGGCUUGGUGUCAAUGACUUCUGAUUUGUGCAUGCCAUAUUAAAAUGUUGUACUGCAGAUGCGUUACAUUUUAAUUUCUUUGCAUACUUGCCUACCUUUGCUCUUACAUGUCAAUUUUUUGUCUUAGUACUGCAGAAGCAGUGUUGCAAAAAAUGGAUGACAUGGAGAAGAUGCGUAGACGCCAUAAAAAGGGCUUGGAAGCCUUUGGGGUGUUCAACAAUACUCAAUUGUUCUACAGGCAUCCUCUAAGAGUGGAAGAAAUACCAUCUGCAGAAGCUGUGAGAUAAUGCUGAGCUGCUAAAAUACAUGUCUUAUAGCACAGUCUGUGAACUGACUUAAAAUUCCAUUUAAAACGAGAUCCAGUCAAAUAAACACUUGUUUCAGGACUUGA